UGCCACUAAAUAAAACAUUUAUUGAAAGGAUGAAACUUAAGACCUUCUAAGUAUUAAAAAUGGUACAUUAGGUACUUUAUGCACUGAUAGGAAGCAGUCUUCAAGAUCUAUUGUUACGGGGGAAGAACACAAGGUGUAGAACAAUUAAAAAAUCUAUGUUUUUGGUGAAUACUAGCUACUAUUUGUGAGAAAAAAAGAGUAUCAACAUCUAUAUCUAUAUAAAUAUAUGUAUUUAUGUGUCUGCAUAAAUGCAUUGUGCAUUUGCUUCCAUAUCCAUCCUUGGGAAGGACACAUAAGAAAUGAAUGGUGGUUUAUUCUACAAAGGGGAACUGGGUGGCUGGGAGAUAGUAGUAGUUUGGAGAUAUAUUGUUGUUUAAUCUUUUAAAAUUUGAACCAUGAGAUGGUUCAAAAUAAUAGUUAAAAAUGAAAAGGUGCAUUAAAACAAAAAUAAACCAGGCAAAAUGAAAAUGUCUUUCUCAACAGAGGGUAAGAGCGCAUGGAACCUGGGAUGUGUGUGGAUGCAGGGGGUAAGGUAGGAAUGCACUAGAAAAUCUCUCUGUCACAGUGCGAGCGUCAGGCCAACAGCUUGGGGAUGCUGAGUUCAGCAGGCAGUGGGACGCAGCCCGGCUUUUCGGUGCAGGCCCGGGACGUGAUCAGAACUGUAGCUGGCAGGUGGGCGUGAGAGUGCCCGGGUAGGUGGUGGAGAAGGUGGGGCUGGGGUCAGAGGACGGAGGAUUGAUGGGAGGGUCUUGCCAUGGAAGAAGUGAUGGUCUGGUGGGAAGAAGGCAGAAAGGGCAGGUAGGAGACGUACACUGAGGGCCCACAGCAAGCGCUCAGGAAACAUCUACUGAAUAAAUGAGUGCAUGAAAACCACAAGGCUUAAUGACCAUUGGGACGUGAGUAUUAGGGAACAGGAACAAAGGGUUAGAAGAUGAUUCAGUCACUCAUUCAUCAAAUAAUCACGAGCGUCCACUGUGGGCCCAAACCACACUCCUAAACCUGUAUUCUCAACAAGCACCCCCUCCACAUGACUCUGAUAUCGAUGCUCCCAGAACACACUUUGAGAGGGAGUCUGCUCAAGAAGAGAGGUGGCCGCCUGUCUACAAAGCUCUGAGUGAAGGAGGAGCUGAGGUGACCUGCUGAGAACAGACUGGUUUAGAAGACCUGAGAAGGUUUGAAACAGCCCUGAUGAGUGCUUUAUAGCGAGUCGGUGAGGACAAAGCAGGCUCCUGGGGAACACUGCUGGCUGCAGGGAUUCUGCCUGAAUCACAAAGACGUGGGCUGUCGCCAGAGAUUUCAGAUCAGAAAUGGACUGUGGAGUAGCUGGGAGACUGCAUCCGUGAUCCUCAGAUAACAGAUCCUGAACUAGAAUAUGAGCCCUGUGAAAGUGAGUACCUUGUCUUUCAUAUUCCUGGAUGUAUCCUCAGCUCUUAGAACACUGACCAGCCCAGGUUCUCACGGUACCAAAGAGCCAGGAUGAUCACUUUCCAGUCGCAUCUUCAUAAUGUCAUCCCUUCCUUACGAUUUGCCUCCUGCUCAGACCCAGAUCCCUCUGGCCCACGUGGGUGGUUCUCCACUAGCCAGCCUCCCCCUCUCAGUCCAGCUUCAUCUCACACCAUCAGUGCCCCUUUCCCCAGGGCACCUGUGGAGCACCUUUUAACCACGCGCUGCCCUUUCACAAAUUCCCUAAACUGCAAGUGCUAACCCUCCCUGACUACGUACAUGCUUUCAUCCACCGAAGCCUUUAACUCACCAUGCCACCUUGCCUCACGUGGUUUCGUGUUCUACAGUACGAUUUGUAUUUUGCUGGCUGUAACUUGCUCUAAUUCUCCCCUUAAGUAUUGUACUCUUACCUAACCUUAGCACAAAGACUGUGAGCUAUCGAAAGGCAGGGGUCUCUUUCCUACUUCCUCAGCAUCCACAUAUAUUGCUCCAGGAAGUGCUUGUGUUCCAGCAAAUGUUUUAAAGACUCAUGAUGAAUAAAUGGAUGAAGGAAGGAGGGAAGCAAGCAAGCAAGCAAUCGGAAUAUGACUCCUGGGAAGGAAUCAUUAAGAAAUAAUCAUACAAGGGAUUUUAAAGAUUAUCUUGUAGAUUACCUUCAUGGCAUAGCUGAAGAAACCCAAAUCCAGUGACAUUAGGAGACUAGAGUUAACUGUAGUGGCUAAAUCUCCAAAGACUUCAACCUAAUACUUUUGGGAAUACUCAAUUAUGUUAGGUACGAAAGAGGGAAUAAAGGUGAAAGAACGGAAAGAUUAAACCUUGGUUCAUCCUUGACUCCUCACUUUAUCUCAUCUCCCAUAUCCCAUCCAUGGGGAUAUCAGUUGUCUCUACCCUCGAGGUAUCCUGCACCCCAUUCAGCUUCUGCCAAGCUCACAUCCUUGCUGUCCCCCAUUCGUACCAGGCAUGAU